rnacentral:rRNA from 1 species
GCCGGAAUUGCUAGUAAUGGCAGGUCAGCAUACUGCCGUGAAUACGUUCCCGGGCCUUGUACACACCGCCCGUCACACCAUGAGAGUUGGGAAUACCCGAAGCCUGUGAGCUAACUUUUAAGAGGCAGCAGUCGAAGGUAGAAUCAAUGAUUGGGGUGAAGUCGUAACAAGGUACC